UACGGGGGGAGCAAGCGUUGUUCGGAUUUACUGGGCGUAAAGGGCGCGUAGGCGGCCAGCACAAGUCAGUUGUGAAAUCUCCGAGCUUAACUCGGAACGGUCAACUGAUACUGUCGUCGUAGAGUGCAGGAAGGGGCAAUCGGAAUUCUUGGUGUAGCGGUGAAAUGCGUAGAUAUCAAGAGGAACACCUGAGGUGAAGACGGGUUGCUGGGCUGACACUGACGCUGAGUGCGCGAAAGCUAGGGUAGCAAACGGG
rnacentral:rRNA from 1 species